CAUUUAAAAGAUUUGUUUAAAGAAAAUCCACAUAAACCAAGGUCCCUGAGGACUUUCUGAACAAGUAGCUCUGAAUGUACUGUUAAACUGACACAUGUUGAAAGGACCCUGCUAUUUACACAUGAAAUGGGAUGUGUAGAAGAUGUUAUU